GAUGAAGAACGUAGCGAAAUGCGAUAAGUAAUGUGAAUUGCAGAAUUCAGUGAAUCAUCGGAUCUUUGAACGCACAUUGCGCCCCUUGGUAUUCCGAGGGGCAUGCCUGUUCGAGCGUCAUUAUAACCCCUCAAGCUCAGCUUGGUGUUGGGGCCUGCUGCACUGGCAGCCCUUAAAAUCAGUGGCGGCGCCAUCUGGCUCUAAGCGUAGUAAUUCUUCUCGCUAUGGAGUCCUGGUGGAUGCUUGCCAUCAACCCCCAAUUUUUCUAUGGUUGACCUCGGAUCAGGUAGGGAUACCCGCUGAACUUAAGCAUAUCAAUAAGCGGAGGA
rnacentral:misc_RNA from 1 species